AGCGAAAAUAGUUUAUUGGUAAAAUAUUAUCCUUCCAAGUUAAUGUAAAGGGUUCAAUUCCCUUUUUUCGCUA
rnacentral:tRNA from 1 species